rnacentral:rRNA from 1 species
UGCCAGCCGCCGCGGUAACACGUAGGGACCGAGCGUUAUCCGGAAUUACUGGGCGUAAAGGGCACGCAGGCGGCCAUUCAAGUCUGAUGUGAAAGCUCUCGGCUCAACUGGGAGAGGUCGUUGGAAACUGAUUGGCUUGAGGCAAUGAGAGGAGUACAGAAUUCAUGGUGUAGUGGUGGAAUGCGUAGAUAUCAUGAGGAAUACCAGUGGCGAAAGCGGUACUCUGGCAUUGACCUGACGCUCAUGUGCGAAAGCGUGGGGAGCGAACGGGAUUAGAUA